GUAAUUAAAAGUCUUGUAAAAGUUCAGAAGUGGCAUUUUUACCACGUGCUAAGAAGAUGAAGCGUUUCCGGCGUCAUUAUUCUGGUAAUAAUACAAAAUCCAA